GGUACUAAUAUUCUUUUCUCUUUGUCAAUUAUCUUUGAUUAAAUUGUUCUAUCUUGUUCCCUAUUUGGGGGUUUUUAGUUUAUAAUGCGCUAAUGUUUCGGUUGGAAUGUCGUCGUUAGAUUUCCUUAUGGUGUUGGACACUGGAAGCGAUUUGUUUUGAUUACCGUGUAAAUGUUCUAGUUGUUUUACCCAUUUAAACACAUCAAAUGAAGGAAAUGUAUUUAAACGGACGAUGCAAAUCUUGAAGUUGAUGUUCUCUCCAAUGAAAUCAACUGGUUGAUUCUUGUUUUGAUUAACUUUCUACAAUAUGUUUUGUUUAUCUUUCUACAGUUUGUUUUCUUUUUUUUUUUGUCAAUUUCCUCCUUAUCUUUUUGUUAUUUUCUUAGUCUAAUUAUUGAAAAAAAGAAUCAAGGAGAAAGAGAAAGUGCAAAAUUUGGGGCUUUGCUUUGCUUUGGGUUCCCUUCCAAUCUCUGCUUUGGUCAAAGAUAUUUACUUGUGUUUAUUGUUGCCAUGGUAAUGUUGUUUGAACUUUAUGAAUAAACCAUGUUUAUAAGAAAUUAUUCCUCUUAUUAGGCCUAUGUUGUUUUCAUGAAUAUCCUUUGUUUAAUCAUAGUUGCAUUGUGUAAUUUGGCUUUUUACAUUUUUGCCAUUGAUUUUUAUUUAUAAAGAGAGUAAACGAGAGUAAGCAUGGUUGUGGCGGAAAUGUGAAAAUAUUCCAACUCCUCAGCUUGUUCAUGGUAUGUUUUUUCUUUUCUUCUUUGAUUUUAAUUCUUACGACCAAAUGAAGAUUAGUUUUUUUUUUUUUUUUGUUUCUUAUUUCUCGUUUGUGUUCUUAAUUUUUUUUAUGUGUUGAAUUUAUUGAGUUUGAAUAAUAUAUAGAGGAUAAGAUUAGAAGGAGUAUGAUGAAGAAUUUGCAAGAGAAAUGUUGGUUGGAGUUAACCCAGUAGUCAUUGCUCGUUAUUCAAGAUGCAAAGAUUAUUGUUACUAAAUGUAAGUUUGUUGUUCUUUGUGUGUUUGGUGGAGGGUUGGGUGUGAAAUAUUAAUGAUUUGGACUUGUUUUAGUGUCUUACAAUUGUUUGAAUAAUACUAUUAGGUUUUUAGUUUCUAGCUAUAAUUUAGUUUUAAUUUUUAUGUUGUUUCUUUUGAAUGAUAAGUUUUAUAUAUGUGUUAGAAUCUUUUGACAAAAUUCAAUACAUCAAACUCCAUUCAAGUGGUUCAUUGUCUGCCAAGUAUUAAAGAAAUUGUCCAACGGUUGACGAGCCACAAAUUUAUAAUGUUUAGAUUGUCUUAUAUUAGCUCCCUAAUUUAUAAUGUCAUUUUCAGUUAAGCAAGUUGCUAUGAGUAAAAAUAGACAUUUCUCUCCAAUGUUGUACUUGUUUUUAUCUUUGGUAAAUUAUUGAUAAUCACAUGGCACAAUAAUUGAACCAUUACGAGGGAGACGUCAAAUAACUAUUUCUCUUUGCAUCCUCUAGUAGAUUUUGGAUUUUUCCCUUCCACUGUAAUGGAAUUGGACCGAGAAAAGUUAACGUGUUCUAGUUAUUUCAAGGUGUUGGCACUUACGUGUAUAGAAUUGGUGAUGAGCGAGUAAUUGAUGCUACAAGGGUUGGUGAGAAAUGGUCAAAGAACUAUUUCGAUUCAUUCAGUGGAGGCUUCUUGUUUGAGGUGAGAAUUUAUCUAUUUCUUUUGCGGUUUAGCUUAUUUAUCUAUCCAGGUGAGAAAUGCAUGUAUGUGGAAAAAUGCUGAGUUGUCUAUGUUGAGUACUUAGUGAUUCUUGAUGUUAUAUUGCCUCAUGAUGUCUUGGAUUGUUGGGUCAGAGUUUGUUUGAUAGAUAAUAAGAUUCUUAGGAUUAAAUGUGAUAAUAGUGGAUGGUAAAGAAGCAAGACUCGUCUGUUUAAGAGAAGUGAAGAUAAUAUGUAAUUGGUCAUUUGGAUUACAUCUUGUGAACUCUCUCGUAUCAUUUCUUAGUUGUAGUAGAAAAAUGAUUUGAUAAUUUCUAUGAAAACUUAAAAGUGUUGUAAAAGGGUGCUUCUAGUUUUGAACUUAAUUGAAGUAUGAAUGUUCUUAGCCUUCAAGGUGGAUAGACUUAUGGAAUAGGUUGAAGGAAAUACCUGAAUGUUACAUCCUUUCAGGCCGCCUUUGUGAAGAAUAAAUAGGUACUAAGGCACAUGAUCUUAUUGAUUUAAAUUCAUUAUGGAUGUCGUUUGAGUAGUUGAUGGGUAGGACCUUUGUGGUGUGUUCUAGGAUUUAAUUUUUUGAGUAAAUGUUGUAACUAUAUUCAGUGCUUGCUGAAUGGAUCGAGUGGAAUAACUCUUGUGACUACCACAACAUUUGGGAACUCACCAAAUGUAAGACUAUUCCUUUAUCCUAACAUUUGAUCUCUCUAUAAUUUGGUUUUCUAUCGUAAGUUUGAUUAAAAUAAAUGCUGAUAAUUCAACUUCAGUGUUCUUAUUUUCUUAAUCCUCAUUCAGUCAGUUAGAAUCAGAACUCAUUUAUUUAUCUUGUCUCCAGAAUUUGGAUUCAAAUAUUCAUCACAAUAAUCUUCUCAACAACAUUCUUGAAAAGGUCGUGGAAUCCAAGUUUGUAUUUGAAGCCAAAUUAAUCCAAGAUCAUUGAGUUUCAAACCUUCUUUAGUUAAGAUUUUGUUUCUUGAACUAGAAUUGUAGUCAUGUGAUUUUUGGAAUAGCAUAGUUGGAUUGGUUUUGUAAUUUUGGGAUUAUCAUAUUAGGUUGGGAUUGAGUGAAGUAUUGUUUUGUAUAUGACAAUAUCGAACAAAUAUGUAAAGUUUUCGAAAUGUUCAUACAUAUAUGGUUAAAUGUUAAUAUGUGUUAAAGUUU